GUCGACUGUUAGCCGACUGUUAACCGACUUAACAGACACGACUUUUAAGAACUGUAUGUCUGUUUGGAUUUUUGAGGCUUGUCUGAAAGGUGAUGACUGUUCGAAUGGCCACGAACAAGUCUAUAAAUAGCCAGCCUUUCUACCAGAAAAUUUACACCAUUUUCAUUGCAAACUUUCUGUGCUUUGAAUCUCAUUUCCCUCUCUCUCGUUCUGAUAUUGUCUCGAAGUAAAACACUUCGUUGAGUUCGUUGGAACUCCUACAGACUGCAGUGCUGCUUCCGUUGGAGACGAAAAAUUCGUUCUAUCCUGGGAAACGAUUGCUGGACGCCUUUAGCACCAUUGAAGGCAGCAAAUUCGUUUUAAGGACACAUCGUGAAGUCGGUGG
rnacentral:lncRNA from 1 species